UGCCAGCCGCCGCGGUAAUACGAAGGGUGCUAGCGUUAAUCGGAAUUAUUGGGCGUAAAGGGCGCGUAGGCGGCUUGACAAGUCAGGGGUGGAAUCCCUCGGCUCAACCGAGGAACUGCCUCUGAAACUGUCAAGCUUGAGGCCGGGAGAGGGUAGUGGAAUUCCCAGUGUAGCGGUGAAAUGCGUAGAUAUUGGGAGGAACACCGGUGGCGAAGGCGGCUACCUGGACCGGUUCUGACGCUGAGGCGCGAAAGCGUGGGGAGCAAACAGGAUUAGAUA
rnacentral:rRNA from 1 species